UCAAAGCCUGGUGUAUUGUCUCAGCUCUGUCUCCAUGACAACCACCCUGUCCAUUUCCUGCCUUUGUUUACGCUGUUCCCCCAUAUGCCCUGCCUCCUCCUCCUCCUGUCAAUCUGCAUCUUUGCCUUCCUGGAAGGUCUGUCUUUCCUGCUUUCUCCUCCAUGUACCUGUGAGUCCCAACUCAGCAGUAGAACCACCAUUCGGGACAUCAGGAACUGUGCUGUGCACUCUUGAACUUCAUCAUCUCUUUGCAGCCAGGGUCAGCAAUUUAAUGCAGUGGUUAAAAGUGGGGACUCCAGAGGCCUUUAAAUACGAUGUAUGUGACUUUAGGCAGGGCAAUAACCUCUUUGGGACCUUGUGGUAUGUACCUGCAGAGGUCAUAGUGAUAUGAAGAUUAACAGGGAUAAUGUAUGGAAAACGCUGGGCUCUGUGCCUGACAGAGAGAGAGAGUGCUCAGUGAAUAUCAGCUAUUAUCUCUCAUUUAAUCCGCACCACUGAAUCUGGCCACAGCAAUGCCUUCCUUCUCUGACUGCCUUCUGUACUUACAGUUUUCCACAUGCGUUACCUUUUUAGUUCUUUGUUCUCUGGUGUUUCCCUGGAUAAGGCUGGACUGAGAGAAUGGAGCAUAUAGUAAUGUGCCCUGGGCAUUCUAGGUGCCCCAAAUUAGAUUCCUUCUCUCCUUUUUUAAUAUUUAAUUCUAUGAAGAAGCAUUAUCCCUUUUGUCUUCUUCUGACCUCAGCCUCGUGGCCUUUUGGGUAAAAGUGGUAAUAUUCCAGAAUUUUAUAAUCUGAUAUUAGGGGUGUAAUUACUUGCAAUGGGAGUGGCAGCUGUCAGAGAGUAAUGGGGAAGAGUUUAGGAUGGGGGUUGGAGCAGGACAUUGGGGUCCUUCCGAGCAGUGUCCCAACUUGCCUGAGCGUGUGGAUCACCUGGGGAUGGCUCAGCUGCAGGCUCUGGUGCAGCAGGUGGUGGUGGCCUGAGAUGCUGCACUGCUAACGAGCUCCCAGGUGAUGUCAGUAUGCUGGUCUAAGGCCCACACUUGGAAUAGCAAUCACUUAAACAAUAAACAUCAACAUACACAUUAAGAAUCUUGUUUGAGGAUCUUAGGCAUCAAGGGUCACACUGGAAAGAGUAAGGUGGCUGUUUCUAAUGCAAAUCAUGGGUCAGUUCAAAAGGGUAGAUUCUAGCCAAAGGCGCCCCAUCUGCUGGCUUUUCACAGGGGCUCUGGGUGCCUGAAUGAUUUAGUUUGGGGUUGACCAUGUUCUUUGUCUCUUUUAUCUUAGCACUUUUGGGCGUGUGGAAAUCUAUAAUUUGCGUUCAGAGAAGGUUCCUACACUGCAAGCCUGGGUGAUGCAUGACAUUGGAGAUCGCAAUGCCUCGUGCUCAAGUUCCUCCAUAAAUGAUCUGAAAUUGAUUUUAAGCAACAGGAACAUUAAAUUUACCUGCCAGGAAAACUACAGGCCUCUCAGGCUUCUACAGUGUGUGCAAUAUCCGGAGGAUUCAUCCUGUUCUAUACAAUGAGCCAAUCAGCAUUGCGAUUUUGGAGCUUGGAACCCUUCUGGUACACAUCACUGUGCAUGAAUCAGGAGACACGCUGGUGGAAAGCCUACUUCCUGGCAUCCCAUUCCUUUGUCAUCAUGUCAGCACUGGAGAUAGAUGCCUUUCCUCCCAAAGUCUGAAAACAACUUUUUUUUUACAUAGUUGUUAUUUUCAUCUCCUAAUAAUUAUUAAAUUGAUUAUGUAAAAUAAAAAUAAAAAUUUUAUACUAAAUUAUUUCAUUUUUAUUUAUAUAUGAUGCUUUUCUGAAGUUUAUAUGUUGGUAACAUUGUUUCUAUCAAAAAUUGACCACACGAAAUUUCUCUGAUUGUAACAGGCAAAAAAAGUAAAAAAAAUGUAGAUCUCCAAGCUUUUCAGAAAGCAUUACAUUUCCAAAUGAAUGACCUUGUCUCAGCAUAUAUUUUGUACCCUUCCUACAGAUAAACUAUAAUGCCAUUUUUAUGGGUCAUGUUGGGGAAAAUAUUCUGUAGAAAAUAAACUACCCAUGUACUUGGCACUUUACCUGUAACCUUUCUACCAGCUCUAUGAGGUUGUUACUAUCUCUCAUUUGUUAGAUGAGAAAGUGAAGUUCAGAGAGGUUAUAUAAUUCACCUAAAGUCAUACAUUCAUUAUAGUUCAAGGUGGAGGCUGAAUUUCAACUCAGCUCUGUCUGACUCCAAAGUAUAUGUCUCUUUCUAGGCCUGUGAUACCAAACUGACAGUGCCUUGUGUUCUCUUCCAAUAAAUGCCUGUUGGAUUCAAUGGAAUACAAU